rnacentral:sRNA from 12 species
GUCAACUACCCCGCCCUCAAGGGCGGAGCUUGGAAAAGCUAGGUUGACCAGACUAAGCCGCUAGCAAUAGUGGCUACGCCACCCCGAGGUCGUUAAGACUUACCAGCAGAUGCUUCCUAAGUCUGCUGCCCUAAA